GGGUCAGUAGGUCGGUCGUGCCACUGGUAUGAACUGGUUUUACUGAUUCCUCCCUCUUGAAGAACUGUAAUGCCAUUAAUUUGGUGCGCCGGGGAAGCAGGACUGUUACCUUGAAAAAAUUAGAGUGCUUAAAGCAGGCUAUCGCCUGAAUACAUUAGCAUGGAAUAAUGAAAUAGGACGGCAUGGUUCUAUUUUGUUGGUUUCUAGGAUCACCGUA
rnacentral:rRNA from 1 species